CAGAGUUAACCCACUCCAAGGAAUCGUUUUUGUCCGUCUGUGAGCUUUGGUUUUGAUUUCUGCUAACUGGAUAUAACCAUAUUUAUGGUAUUUUCUGAUCUUGUCAAGUGUAUUUGUGCUAUUUAUGAUGUUGACAAAGGUUCACUUUUGAUUAACGUUAAGGAACUACUCUGUGCCAGGAUCUAUAUACGUCCUCAGACUUACAAAAGUUAGACAGCUGGACACAUUCUGCUCCUAUGUGUAUAUCCUUGGAAAAUUUUCACAUGGGCCUGUGAGGGGUACGAAUAAGGACACAAGGUUGUUUUUUUUUUUUUUUUUUUUUUUAAUGACAGUGAAAGUUGAAUGCAACUUUUUUUUAUCAGAGAAUUUUCAGGUUAUUCAUUUAUUCAAAAAAUAUUUAUUGAGUGCCUGUGACUUGCCAGGUCUCAGCAAAACCAUCAAUUAUCCUGCAGCAUUCAUGGUUGGAGCUGCGCUCAAGUCUUCUAGGGCCUUACUAUUGUAAUACUGGCUGCCCACCCAGAACUACCAGCAUUUGAACCUCUUUGUCUGGGAGGCUUCCUCUGGUUGCUGGAACCUGUCUGCCCCAGGGCAAGCUGGAAGUGUUGAAGAACUGAUGCCUGCCUGCCCAUGCCAGCACCUUGCAGCAAUGACUGCUCCAGCUCCCUCCAGCUCCCUGGCUCCUCAGGUGGAAAGACCAGCAAUGCUCUACACUGGCUCCCAGAGCUCCCCAGUGGGGUCUGCUGAACCCACUUCCAGAAAAGAGACCAUUCUCCCAUCACUCUGGUCCUCUGCUUCACUCGACAUGGCCUCCAAGGCCCUACAUGGUUGAAUCUCUGCUCUCCUCUGAAAGCUCAUCUCCUACUUGUCUGUCCUCGGUCCAGGCCCUGCAGCCACCCGGGCCUUUGGUAGUUCCUAGAGAAGCCCUCUGCCUUCUCCCACCCCAGGACUUUUGCACAUGUUGCCUGCAACACUCUCCUUCCCCUUCCCUCCAUCUAUUAUGUACUUAAUUCCUAUACUUCCUUUAGCUGUCAUCUCAGUUACCCCUUCUUCUUGGAAGCCUUUCUGAUGGCCUGCACCUAGGUCAGGUUCCUUUGUUACAUGCUUGCACAGAACCAUAUUAUUUCCUUCUACACUUUUAGCAACACAUGGAACUAGCAAAAAAUAGAUUUUCCUCAAUGGCCUCACAGGUCUUGGGUCAAAUUCUAAGCCAGACAUUAAAUCUUGAAUUCCUGCACUUCUCCCCCUACCCAAGCAAAUCAAAAAGGCAGUGGAUUUCCCCUAUUCUUCUGCCAUAUGAUAAUACUUUGUAUAACCCAGUGUUCCAAAUGAUCACAUUUGAAUUGAUUAGUAGAUUCCCAAAUUACUGUAGUUCAACUGUCUUUCUAACAUUUAUGUUCCUAGAGCUAUAAAAGAAAUGGAAAUUGUGGGAAAAUCUCUGCACAUCUGGAUAAUUUGUUUUUACCUUCCAGUGAUCCUUCAGAACUCUAAAUCUUUCAUUUUACACAUUGAAGGAGUUUAUUCAC
rnacentral:lncRNA from 1 species